rnacentral:lncRNA from 1 species
CUCUCUCUCUCUCUCCUCUCUCUCUUUUUGCAGCUUGCAAACUGCAGCUGGAAGUGUUAGCUGGUGUUGUUGCGAGUAAAUCUCUUUUCUUUUUUUUUUUUUUUUAGGUUCAGUUUGGUUAUUUUUAACACUUCAUGGUGCCUUUCCUCUGGGCUUUCUCAUGCAAAGUGCAAAGCGAGGAGAGAGGUUCAUCGGGGAAAGGAGGAGGGAGAAGAGACCGAAGACAAAAAAAAAAUCAAAGUCGAUAUCGCAACCAAAAUAAUAACAAUCAUAAAAAAAAAAAAAAGGAGAGAGAGAGAAAAAAAAAAAAAAAACACAACUCAACCCCAAAGCUACGGCAAGAAGAUGAAAAAUAUUUUAAAGGUUUCAUCCAGCAGGAGAGUUUAAAAGCAUUGCAGAGUUUUAUAGCGCUCCUGACGUCAGCCUCCGAAUGGCAAAUUGGCUGGGCGGGCGGCCCAAUGGGCUGCUUGCAGCCGCCGGCAUUAGCAUAAUAGUAUAGAAACAAGGAAACUUUUCGGGGCUGUCAAUCAGGGCGCAAUCAGCUGACUGUCAGCUGGGAGCGCCGUAACCCCUUCCUGCCCGCCCCGUUCACCGGGGACCGGGCACCGGGCUGGGGCCGCUCCUCCCGCCGGGACGCGCCGUCGGGUGCCCGCCCGGCUCCGCUCCGCUCCGCUCCGCGCUGCCUUGCUUUGUCCUGCUUUGUCCUGCUCUGUCCUGCUUUGUCCUGUUCUGUCCUGCUCUGCCCCGGGGUGCGGAGCCCUCGGGUGCUCCUGGCCGGCCGGGCACCCGAGGGCACCGGGGGACUUGGCCCGGGGGCGUGCGGGGACGGCCCGAGGGAGGGGGCUGCUCCGGGGGGCUCCGCGGGGCUCGGCGGUGCUGCCGGGCUCAGCCGGGCUCCAGCCGCUACCUGGUGCCGGUACCGAGACCCCCGGGCCGCCCCCCCGCGGCGGCUCCCCCCUGGGUCUGCCGCUUGCUGCCGGCAGCGAUCGUUCCCCGGCCGUCCCCAGCAGAGAGGUCCGAAAGCCCUGCAAGUUUGCAAGCCCCGCUCCCGCCGGCGCUCGGCCGGCCUGGCCGGGCUAAUUAACGGAAUACAUCGCGAAACUAAUUGUCUUCUUUUUAGCCUCCCCUCCCGGUGCCCCCCGGCCGGGGCUGGAGGGGGGGGAGCCGUGCGAGCGCGGAGCGGGCUGCACCCGGCGGUGCCGAGCGGCGGCGGAGCGGCUCCGUUCAAACCUCGACAGCGCCAUCUCUCGUCGAAAGCCCACAGGCAUCCAUUGUAA